rnacentral:rRNA from 1 species
GUGGGGAAUAUUGGACAAUGGGCGAAAGCCUGAUCCAGCCAUGCCGCGUGAGUGAUGAAGGCCUUAGGGUUGUAAAGCUCUUUCAGUAGGGAAGAUAAUGACGGUACCUACAGAAGAAGCCCCGGCUAACUUCGUGCCAGCAGCCGCGGUAAUACGAAGGGGGCUAGCGUUGUUCGGAUUUACUGGGCGUAAAGCGCACGUAGGCGGAUUGGUCAGUUAGAGGUGAAAUCCUGGAGCUCAACUCCAGAACUGCCUUUAAUACUGCCAGUCUAGAGUCCAGAAGAGGUGAGUGGAACUCCUAGUGGAGAGGUGGAAUUCGUAGAUAUUAGGAAGAACACCAGUGGCGAAGGCGGCUCACUGGUCUGGUACUGACGCUGAGGUACGAAAGCAUGGGGAGCAAACAGGAUUAGAAACCCCUGUAGUCC